rnacentral:tRNA from 1 species
GCAGGCGUGGCGGAACGGCAGACGCACUGGACUCAAAAUCCAGCGAUAGCGAUAUCGUGUGGGUUCAAAUCCCACCGCCUGCACCA